UAGAGUUUGAUCAUGGCUCAGGACGAACGCUGGCGGCGUGCUUAACACAUGCAAGUCGAGCGGAAAGGCUCCUUCGGGGGUACUCGAGCGGCGAACGGGUGAGUAACACGUGAGUAAUCUGCCCUCCACUUCGGGAUAACUGCCUGAAAGGGUGGCUAAUACCGGGUAUUCUCCUUGCACCGCAUGGUGUGGGGUGGGAAGUUUUUUCGGUGGGGGAUGUGCUCGCGGCCUAUCAGCUUGUUGGUGGGGUAAUGGCCUACCAAGGCUUUGACGGGUAGCCGGCCUGAGAGGGUGACCGGCCACACUGGGACUGAGACACGGCCCAGACUCCUACGGGAGGCAGCAGUGGGGAAUAUUGGACAAUGGGCGGAAGCCKRWUCCAGCAACGCCGCGUGAGGGAKGACGGCCUUCGGGUKGUAAACCUCUUUCAGCACAGASGAAGCGCCUGUGAAGGUGGKGACGGUAUGUGCAGAAGAAGCACCGGCCAACUACGUGCCAGCAGCCGCGGUAAUAC
rnacentral:rRNA from 1 species